CCAAAUAGACCUAUGUUGAUUAAACUCCAA
rnacentral:piRNA from 1 species